UACAGAGGGUGCGAGCGUUGUCCGGAAUCACUGGGCGUAAAGGGCGCGUAGGCGGCGCGGUAAGCGUGCGGUGAAAGCCCGGGGCUCAACCCCGGGUCGGCCGUGCGGACUGCCGGGCUGGAGCACUGUAGAGGCAGGUGGAAUUCCACGUGUAGCAGUGAAAUGCGUAGAGAUGUGGAGGAACACCGAUGGCGAAGGCAGCCCCCUGGGUCAACACUGACGCUCAUGCACGAAAGCGUGGGGAGCAAACAGG
rnacentral:rRNA from 1 species